CUACCCACCACCCUUCCUAUCUGUGCACUGAGAGCUGUGUGAAGGUGGAGACCAGCUAUCUCCUGAGAUCCUUUGUCUUUGCAGCCACAGCAUUUGAAAUCAUUCUCGUCAAAGAUACAGAGAGGUUUUCCUCUUCCUAAUGAAUGAGCAUGUGACAAUCAAUAUGAUGUGUACCUGAGAGAAAAAAAUUAUUGAAGAUGUCAGCAGUGCUUAAAUAUGUUUCCUAUUCUAAGAUUCUCCCAAGAUCUGCAGUAACCUGGAAUAUCAGUUGGGAGUAUGUUCAUACCUGGACGCUGGUAGGAAGCAGAAGUGUAGAAGAAAGUCAGUUAUUCAAGGAAGCAGAGAUAUCUUAUUUUGAACUAUCAUUUUAUAAGCCCUUGAAAGAUAUUUUAAAUAAAAA
rnacentral:lncRNA from 1 species